rnacentral:sRNA from 1 species
ACAUGAGUGAUGAGGAGUGGCUGCAAAUACAGAUGAAGCUUCGUUUGCUCACUUCCUGUUGUGUGGCCCAGACAGGGCACUGUCUGUGGCCCCAGGGGUUGAGGACCCCUGGCUUUAACAACAGAAAGGUACCAUCUUACAGUUCUGGAGGCCAAAGUCUGAUAUCCAGACCCCAGUUACUGGAUUGGGAUCCACCCUCACUCAAUAUGGCCUCAGCUUAAUGAAAGACAUCUGCAGAGACCCUAUUUCUACUAAAAGCCACAUUCUGAGACUUCUCGUGGGCGUGAGUUUUUGAGAGACACUGUUCUGCUCCAUGCAGGGAGGGAAUUGGGAUCUGAAGACGUUGCAUUCGAGGUCUCGGGGCUCCUGAUGAGCAGCCUCGGCCUGACCUGGGGCAGGUGUGAUGUCUGCGGCUCACCAUCUCCACCCUGCCUGCUGUGGAAUCUCCACAACGACAGGUGCUUUGGAGGCCAGAGUGCAUGCGUACGGGCCCUGCACACGCUGAAUGUCACUGGGAACAAGGACACACCCCGCUUCCAGGAGAAGAUAGAACAUGUCGACCCCUUUUACCAUAUGACACAUUAUCAGACCAAACCAGAGCUCUUGGUUUUCGGAUCUGGGGAUGAAUUCUUUAGCACAGAUGGAACCAUGAACUUCUAUGAUCAACUGCCAGGAAGGAAAUACCUCAGAGCCAUCCCCAGUGCAGGACAUGCUAUUGACUUCCAUGAGACAAACACCUACUUGGAAAUCAGGUUUUUUCUGUACCUUUUGAAGGAGCAGGAAUUUCCCAGCAUUUCCUGGACAAAGACGGAGGCCACAUUCGCUGCAUCCUUUCCAGCAAGAUGUAAUUCUGAGAUUUUUGUCAUUCCUGGGCGUUAUGAGGACUGCCAAGGGACACAAUUCCAUGGGAGGAAAGUUUUCUUCUAAGCUGCAAGCCAGCUCUGGCUUCUGGAGUUUCUCCUUAGGAUUGCAAGACAGUAGUUCCCUGUCCUUUAGGUCUUCUCCAGAAAUACCUUAAAAUAGCAAAUAAAAUAAGAUAUAAGCAAACAAAACCUGAAGUUAA